UACGUAGGGGUGCGAGCGUUAAUCGGAAUUACUGGGCGUAAAGCGUGCGCAGGCGGCGCGUUAAGACAGGUGUGAAAGCCCCGAGCUUAACUUGGGAAUUUGCGCUUGUGACUGGCGUGCUGGAGUGUGGCAGAGGGAGGUGGAAUUCCACGUGUAGCAGUGAAAUGCGUAGAGAUGUGGAGGAACACCGAUGGCGAAGGCAGCCUCCUGGGCCAGCACUGACGCUCAUGCACGAAAGCGUGGGGAGCAAACAGG
rnacentral:rRNA from 1 species